rnacentral:rRNA from 1 species
UGGGGAAUUUUGGACAAUGGGGGAAACCCUGAUCCAGCCAUCCCGCGUGUGCGAUGAAGGCCUUCGGGUUGUAAAGCACUUUUGGCAGGAAAGAAACGUCGCGGGUUAAUACCCCGCGAAACUGACGGUACCUGCAGAAUAAGCACCGGCUAACUACGUGCCAGCAGCCGCGGUAAUACGUAGGGUGCAAGCGUUAAUCGGAAUUACUGGGCGUAAAGCGUGCGCAGGCGGUUCGGAAAGAAAGAUGUGAAAUCCCAGAGCUUAACUUUGGAACUGCAUUUUUAACUACCGGGCUAGAGUGUGUCAGAGGGAGGUGGAAUUCCGCGUGUAGCAGUGAAAUGCGUAGAUAUGCGGAGGAACACCGAUGGCGAAGGCAGCCUCCUGGGAUAACACUGACGCUCAUGCACGAAAAGCGUGGGGAGCAAACAGGAUUAGAUACCCUGGUAGUCCACGCCCUAAAACGAUGUCAACUAGCUGUUGGGGCCUUUCGGGCCUUAGUAGCGCAGCUAACGCGUGAAGUUGACCGCCUGGGGAGUACGGUCGCAAGAUUAAAACUUGAAAUGAAUUGAACGGGGUCAUAGCGUGUUUCCU